UGGGGAAUUUUGGACAAUGGGGGCAACCCUGAUCCAGCCAUGCCGCGUGAGUGAAGAAGGCCUUCGGGUUGUAAAGCUCUUUCGGCCGGGAAGAAAUCGUGCAGGCUAAUACCCUGUAUGGAUGACGGUACCGGAAUAAGAAGCACCGGCUAACUACGUGCCAGCAGCCGCGGUAAUACGUAGGGUGCGAGCGUUAAUCGGAAUUACUGGGCGUAAAGCGUGCGCAGGCGGUUUUGUAAGACAGGCGUGAAAUCCCCGGGCUCAACCUGGGAACUGCGCUUGUGACUGCAAGACUAGAGUACGGCAGAGGGGGGUGGAAUUCCACGUGUAGCAGUGAAAUGCGUAGAGAUGUGGAGGAACACCAAUGGCGAAGGCAGCCCCCUGGGUCGAUACUGACGCUCAUGCACGAAAGCGUGGGGAGCAAACAGGAUUAGAUACCCUGGUAGUCCACGCCCUAAACGAUGUCAACUAGUUGUUGGUAGGGUAAAACCUAUUAGUAACGGAGCUAACGCGUGAAGUGACCGC
rnacentral:rRNA from 1 species